AUGCACGCUGGCGGCGUGCCUCAUCCAUGCCAGUCGCGCGAACAGACGAGGAGCUUGCUCCUCUGACGUUAGCGGCGGACGGGGGAGUAACACGUGGAUAACCUACCUAUAAGACUGGGAUAACUUCGGGAAACCGGAGCUAAUACCGGAUAACAUGUUGCACCGCAUGGUUCAACAGUGAAAGACGGUCUUGCUGUCACUUAUAGAUGGAUCCGCGCCGCAUUAGCUAGUUGGUAAGGUAACGGCUUACCAAGGCAACGAUGCGUAGCCGACCUGAGAGGGGGGUCGGCCACACUGGAACUGAGACACGGUCCAGAGGCCUACGGGAGGCAGCAGUAGGGAAUCUUCCGCAAUGGGCGAAAGCCUGACGGAGCAACGCCGCGUGGGUGAAGAAGGUCUUCGGAUCGUAAAACUCUGUUAUUGGGGAAGAACAAAUGUGUAAGUAACUAUGCACGUCUUGACGGUACCUAAUCAGAAAGCCACGGCUAACUACGUG
rnacentral:rRNA from 1 species